rnacentral:rRNA from 1 species
ACGAACGCUGGCGGCCUGCCUAACCCAUGCACGUCGAACGAGACCUUCGGGUCUAGUGGCGCACGGGUGCGUAACGCGUGGGAGCCUGCCCUUAGGUUCGGAAUAACUCCCCGAAAGGGGUGCUAAUACCGGAUAAUGUCUUCGGACCAAAGAUUUAUCGCCUUUGGAUGGGCCCGCGUUGGAUUAGCUAGUUGGUAGGGUAAAAGCCUACCAAGGCGACGAUCCAUAGCUGGUCUGAGAGGAUGAUCAGCCACACUGGGACUGAGACACGGCCCAGACUCCUACGGGAGGCAGGAGGGGGGAAUAUUGGACAAUGGGCGAAAGCCUGAUCCAGCAAUGCCGCGUGAGUGAUUAAGGCCUUAGGGUUGGAAAGCUCUUUUACCCGGGAUGAUAAUGACAGUACCGGGAGAAUAAGCUCCGGCUAACUCCGUG